rnacentral:rRNA from 1 species
GACGUAGGGCGCGAGCGUUGUCCGGAUUUAUUGGGGCGUAAAGAGCUCGUAGGCGGCUCAUUGCGUCAACCGUGAAAUCCUGCUGCUCAACCGCAGGGCUGCCUUCUAAACUGUCAGGCUGGAGCACGGUAGAGGCAGAUGGAAUUCCCGGUGUAGCGGUGGAAUGCGUAGAGAUCGGGAAGAACACCAGUGGCGAAGGCGGUCUGCUGGGCCGUUGCUGACGCUGAGGCGCGACAGCGUGGGGGAGCAAACAGG